rnacentral:misc_RNA from 1 species
GGCGAUUUUAUCUCUUCCCAAUCCGUCUCCGCUUCAAUUCCCGGCGCCGGCAUAUCAUUGUACGGAAAAAGUGAAAACAUGACGGCGAUUCAGACGUUUUUCCUUCAAGGUUCAGUUUCAACUCUCCUUUCUUCUCAAUCAUCAGUCACUAGCUGUCGAAAAGUUUCCGUUAAAUUCACCGUCUCAUGUUGCUCCGCGACGUCUCCUCUGGCCGUCGUGAACGGUAAUGUGGAGAAGAGACCUUCUGAUAGAACCGAAGUUCGCAUCGGUUUGCCUAGCAAAGGCCGAAUGGCUGCUGAUUCUCUCGAUCUUCUCAAGGAUUGCCAGCUAUCAGUUAGGCAGGUGAAUCCGCGGCAGUACGUUGCAGAAAUUCCACAGAUACCCAAUCUGGAAGUGUGGUUUCAACGACCAAAAGACAUUGUGCGGAAGUUGGUAGCUGGAGAUUUAGACCUUGGCAUUGUUGGUCUCGACACAGUUUGUGAAUAUGGGCAGGGGGAUGAAGAUCUCAUCAUUGUCCAUGAUGCCCUUGAGUAUGGUGAUUGUCGUUUAUCUCUUGCUAUACCAAAAUAUGGGAUUUUUGAGAAUGUGAACUCAAUGAAGGAGUUAGCAGAGAUGUCACAGUGGACACCUGAGAGGCCACUAAGAGUUGCAACAGGAUUCACAUAUAUGGGUCCUAAAUUUAUGAAAGAAAAUGGGUUGAAGCAUGUCACUUUUUCAACUGCUGAUGGAGCCCUGGAAGCAGCUCCAGCGAUGGGAAUAGCUGAUGCUAUUGUGGAUCUAGUGAGUAGCGGAACCACACUGAGAGAAAAUAAUCUGAAGGAAAUAGAAGGUGGAGUCAUCGUGCAAAGUCAGGCAGUCCUUGUCGCUGGCAGAAAGUCCCUAAUGCAGCGAAAAGGUGCACUUGAUAUAACACAUGAAAUGCUAGAAAGACUGGAGGCACAUCUGAGGGCUGUAGGUCAAUUUACGGUAACUGCUAAUAUGCGAGGAAGCAGUGCGGAGGAAGUCGCUGAACGAAUAUUGAGCCAAACGUCACUAUCUGGAUUGCAGGGACCCACCAUAAGUCCAGUCUUCUGCAAGCAUGAUGGACGGGUUACAGCUAAUUACUUUGCCAUUGUCAUAUGUGUACCAAAGAAAGCACUUUACAAGUCUGUUCAGCAGCUUAGGGCGAUUGGAGGGAGCGGUGUCCUGAUUUCUCCGUUGACCUAUAUUUUUGAUGAAGAAACACCAAGAUGGCGUCAACUCCUUUCAACAUUGGGACUUUGAUCUAUCUAACAAUGCCCGGAUUGGUUUCAACAACCACAGUGCCUUUUUUGAAGAGACAAACAUGAAGAAACCAGGACUCCAUAUGAGAGGGGAAUUCGGCUUUGUUAAUAAACUGGAAAAUUUUGUAUCGCAUUGCCAUUUAGACUUCCUAUUAAUUAUCAGCUCUUGUUGUAACAAUAGUGUGUCAUUCAUUUUGGUGCCGAUGGCAAUUCUAAGAUUGUUGUAACGUGAUAUUUGCCAUGCUGACGGAAAAGUGCCCUUGUU